GGAGCUGAUGAUGAUGAC
rnacentral:siRNA from 1 species